AUUUGAUGGUGCUGUUUCAAGCUGAUCCCUGAAGAGGCCAAAAUAUGAUCUUCUGAAGUCCAGGGUUGCGAUCUUGUUUUUUACCUUGCUUCUCGGGAUCCUGAACUCUACCAUCUCAUGGUCACUGCAGCCAAGGCUGUGCCUGACCCCAACAAGCUCUUCCAUGUUGAUAGGUAUGAGGCCCAGCAGAGCAACUCAUUGAUCACCUCCUCUGUCAUUUGGGCUGGCAAGUUGUUAUUGAGGCUCCCUGAGAACUUACUGGAUUGACUAUGGCCUGACGUGUUUUUCCUCCAGCAGAUAUUUCAGUGGUUGAAUUCCCUCAUCAGGAUCAAGGUCUGCUAAUGGGAGGCUACUUUGAGCUGUCUGUAGAGUGCUUCAUCCACCUGUUCUUCAUGGUCACGGGGACCCUCCUGUCUCUCAAAUGCUAACUGAAGAAAUUAAUGUAAAAAAGGAAGGAAAAAAAAUCCAACAGAACAAAUGAAAAACCAAAUACAUAUUUGUGCACAUACACAGUCCUGUUUAUAAAAGCCGCCUCAGCAGUCUGGAGAGCUCAGCUAAGUUAUCCCUCAGCUUGGUGACACUGAGAAGACCAAAAAGUACUGCCCUGCAGGGAGGAAAAACAGGAGGCUUCCAGCUGCUUCAGCUACAGUCAAGACCUAGCUGAUGAUCUCAAGGGCUCGAACUCUGUGUUUGUCACUGCACAUUGGGAGCAUCCCCAUUUGUUCUGAGCUCUGUGAUCUGCUUCUGCAGUUUUCUAGUUUGCUCUGCCUGUGCUCCACUCUUCCUGCUCUGGUUUCACAGCUGCCAGAAAACCCUCAUCACAAAACAGAAUAAAUGCGUGAAACCUC